rnacentral:tRNA from 1 species
GGUUCCAUAGUGUAGCGGUUAGCGCGCCUGCUUUACACGUAGAAGGUCCUGGGUUUGCACCCCAGUGGAGCCA